rnacentral:lncRNA from 1 species
GCGCUCCUAGUUUUUGAACACUACAUUAUCCAUGAUGCGUAUUUUGAUUCUUAAAUGAGGAGAUGGGUGGAUCUUUACUUUAACAGUCAGCUUGUGUUGUUGAUCAGGGUAAAACACUAUUGUGUCGUAUUUAACCUAAUGUAAAAAACAUACGUCUUAGUGGGUUUUAGUUUUUCAUAUUCUUUUUGAGAAAAGGGGGGGGGGGUUUGUGAACAAAAAUAAAUUUAUUUAAAAAAGUAUUAAAAUGCAAUUCGUUGUUCAUACUUUUCG